rnacentral:rRNA from 1 species
AUUGAACGCUGGCGGCAUGCCUUACACAUGCAAGUCGAACGGCAGCGCGGGAGCAAUCCUGGCGGCGAGUGGCGAACGGGUGAGUAAUACAUCGGAACGUGCCCAAUCGUGGGGGAUAACGCAGCGAAAGCUGUGCUAAUACCGCAUACGAUCUACGGAUGAAAGCAGGGGAUCGCAAGACCUUGCGCGAAUGGAGCGUCCGAUGGCAGAUUAGGUAGUUGGUGAGGUAAAGGCUCACCAAGCCUUCGAUCUGUAGCUGGUCUGAGAGGACGACCAGCCACACUGGAACUGAGACACGGCCCAGACUCCUACGGGAGGCAGCAGUGGGGAAUUUUGGACAAUGGGCGAAAGCCUGAUCCAGCCAUGCCGCGUGCAGGAUGAAGGCCUUCGGGUUGUAAACUGCUUCUGUACGGAACGAAACGGUCUUUUCUAAUAAAGAAGGCUAAUGACGGUACCGUAAGAAUAAGCACCGGCUAACUACGAG